GCUGCCGCCACGGGCGGAGGUCUUCUCCUCCAGGAUGAGGCUCCCAACUUUGAAGCAAGUACUACCAUCAGCCGCAUCUGUUUCCAUGACUAUCUGGGAGACUCACAGGGAAUUCUCUUCUCCCAUCCUCGGGACUUUACCCCAGUGUGUACCACAGAACUCGGCAGAGCAGCAAAUCUGGCACCAGAACUUGCCAAGAGAAAAGUUAAGAUGAUUGCUCUUUCCAUAGCCAGCGUGGAAGACUAUCUUGCAUGGAGCAAGGAUAUCAAUGCUUACAAUGGUGAAGAGCCACAAAAAAAUUACCUUUUCCUAUCACUGAUGAUAAGAAUGGGGACCUAGUCAUUCAGUUGGGCAUGUUGGACCCACCAGAGAAUGACGAAAAGAACAUGCCUGUGACCGCUCAUGUGGUGUUCACUUUUGGUCCUGAUAAUAAACCAAAACUGUCCAUCCUCUACUCAGCUACCACUGGCAGGAACUUUGAUGAGAUUCUCUUUCCAGCUGAGAGCAGAGAAGAAGGAAGUCACCCCGGCUGAAUGGAAGAAUGGGGACAGCAUGAUGGUCCUUCCAACCAUUCCUGAAGAAGAAGCAAAAACAACGAAUCUUUUCACCAAAGAGCUCCCAUAUGGCAAGGAAUACCUCUACUACACCCCCAGCUAU
rnacentral:lncRNA from 1 species